AGCAGUAGCCACGGUAAUACGUAGGGUGCGAGCGUUAAUCGGAAUUACUGGGCGUAAAGCGUGCGCAGGCGGUUCGUUAAGACAGAUGUGAAAUCCCCGGGCUUAACCUGGGAACUGCAUUUGUGACUGGCGAGCUAGAGUAUGGCAGAGGGGGGUAGAAUUCCACGUGUAGCAGUGAAAUGCGUAGAGAUGUGGAGGAAUACCGAUGGCGAAGGCAGCCCCCUGGGCCAAUACUGACGCUCAUGCACGAAAGCGUGGGGAGCAAACAGGAUUAGAUACCCGUGUAGUCCCUGUCUCUUAUAC
rnacentral:rRNA from 1 species